GACGAACGCUGGCGGCGCGCCUAACACAUGCAAGUCGAACGGAGCUUAGAGAGCUUGCUUUUUAAGCUUAGUGGCGAACGGGUGAGUAACGCGUGAGGAACCUGCCUCAAAGAGGGGGACAACAGUUGGAAACGACUGCUAAUACCGCAUAAGCCCACGGCUCGGCAUCGAGCAGAGGGAAAAGGAGUGAUCCGCUUUGAGAUGGCCUCGCGUCCGAUUAGCUAGUUGGUGAGGUAACGGCCCACCAAGGCAACGAUCGGUAGCCGGACUGAGAGGUUGAACGGCCACAUUGGGACUGAGACACGGCCCAGACUCCUACGGGAGGCAGCAGUGGGGAAUAUUGCACAAUGGGCGAAAGCCUGACGGAGCAACGCCGCGUGAGUGAUGACGGCC
rnacentral:rRNA from 1 species